GCUCUACGAGGGGCUGACGGGUGAGGAAAUACCUGCAGACGGUGCCGCCCAACCCUCCUAGGAGACGCCACCUCGCGUGCACAGCUGCCUCUACGCCUGCAUCUAGGCUCGCCUGGCCUCUCGCUACAACAUGUCGGCUGGGUACAGCGAGAGCCGCCUCCUGUAGAGCUGCCAGGGAGCUGCCAGGAAGCUCCCGGGGCCAGCCUGCGUCCGGGCCACCCGCGGGCGCCCGCGGCCGCAAGCCGGGCAGGGCUGGGCAAUGCCCUUUCUACUCCAGGAGGCACCCGAAUCAUCCCCUUCAACUAGGGGUGGAGGCAUGGACGGAUGGGAUUUUACAGCUUUGAUUAUCUAAUUGCAGCUGACACUAAACCGAUCUUCCUUCCUCUUUAAAUUCUUUCGAUUGUCACAAACAUUUUCACUUCAGGACCCAGUUACAAUUAGCAUCACAGCCACUUUUCUUCUGUGUUUUUGAAAGUCAGCCAAAAGAAUAACGGCAUUUUGCCUAUUGGCUGCAGGCGAAUAAACUGCGGCUCUCUCAUCCUGCCUUUGUUUUCCGCUCCUUCUUUCUCCCUUUUUCUAAACAACUCCUAAACAUUUGGCAUGCCAACACUAGCUGUAAUAUUCUAAAUGAGCCCCAUAUGUAAACUGGCAAGUGUCCAGCUUCUUAAUUACUUUCCUGCCUCUAUCUAAAAAAGAUCUAAGUAGCAAACACUGCCGUAUAUUAAUCAAAGCCUCUGUUUAUAAAUGUACAAAGCAGCCACCAAAACAAUACAUUGUUCUGCCUUUGGCACAAGAAGUUAUUAUUAUUAUUAUUUUUUUUUAAAGAUAAAAGCUCUCAAGUGUUUCAAGCUGGAGCUAUCCUGCAGACUUGCAAAACAUAAUCUGCACUGAACCUGACAUGAUCAGGUGGCAUUCUUUGGAAUCUCUGGAAAUCACUGUACGUACUAAUACUCAUCUUCCCAGUUAAGAUCUGUUGCUAUUUGGCUAAAUAUACUCCCAUCCAAAUCAAUACAUGAAUUUACAAAUCUACUUUCCCCUGUAUUAUUUUAUGAGAAGGCCAAUGUUUCAUUUGCUGGUAACAGUCUUUACCUAAAGAGAACCUGGAACCAGGGCUGGGAGGCACCCUGGCCUACCUGUCUUGCAGAAGCCCUUCCACCAUUGGCAAUAACUGACUAUCUCUCCUUGGCUACUGCCAGUGAAGGGGGAAGGAAUAAAAGUUCUUCCAGAAAUCUGAAAACCCUGCCUACCACCCUACAUUUCCGCCACUCUUGUUCCACCUCUGUCCUCUGGGGCUGCCUGGGGGCAGCGGGCUCUCAGGACAGCCCUUUGACAGCUGAAAUGCCCACAGGCCCUCCUCCUCUCGGGCUUGUUGUAGGCUCCCCUCUGUUGUUCUCCCAGUCCUUAGGGGGCAUUUCUAGGCCUUUAUUGCCCUGUCUGCUCUGGAUGCCCUUGUGUGCAAGCCUGUGUUUCCCACGAGGGAUGGCAGCCACAGGAUGCUGCCUGAGAACAGUCACAGCAUUAACCACUGGCAGGAGGGUCAGCUGGACGCUGGAAAGCUCCAUUUAGAAUUGUCAGCCCAUUACAAAAUUGGUUUCACUUGACUGAAUUUCACUUCAACAUCAGCAUUAUCGAAUAUUAAAAGCAUCUAGGACUUAUUUUUGCAUGCAAGUAUUAGAAGUCUUGGUUACCUUCUAAAAUGGGAUACUUGUUGACAUCAAUAACGCUACAAAACCAAUGAAGCUUCUGCCCAAUGCCCGGGCCAACGUGGGUGACGGCAAGAAGGUCUUGCUGUGUUGUCCAUGCUGGUCUUGAAUUCCUGGGCUCAAGCGAUCCUUCUCCCUCAGCCUGUCAGGUAGCUGGGAUUUGUGAACACUCUGCUUCACAAUGGUGUUUCAAAGAUGGUUAAAUCCAUGGAUGCGGAAGCCACAGAUAAGGAGUGCCAACUACACUUGUACUUCUACCUGUCAUUUUGCCUUUUAAAAGACUCGAAAUGAAGAAAAUGCACCAGAACUCAAAACCUGAUGGAAACAAUUAGGCAAGGACUCAGAAGCAAAGAAUUUGAGCUGACGGGAACCUUAGAAAUCAUCCAGUCCCACCCUCGUCUGCACAGACUCAGGCAACCGAGAUGAUAUGGCUGAGAUGACUGACCCAGCUACCACUGGGACUAGAACUCACAUCUCUGACCAUGCUUUUCCACCAUGCUGCUGUUAAUCUUUCUUAAAUGACUGAAGGACAAAUUCGGGGUUGUUUUUCUUCAAAACCUUCAGAGGAAAAGGAGUUCAUGCUACAGAAAGGAAGAAGUAAGCAAAUCAUAAAUGAAUGUUAUCAGUCCAUUUUUCAAUAUAAACCACCAAAUUCUAAGACAUUUGGAUAUGGAAUAUGGUUUCCUGUGUGCUACCUGCCUGAUGCAUUAUGUGUAGUCAAUCUUAUAUCUAAGACAGACUCAUUUUUAAAGAGUCAAAGUAUUCCUAACCAGUCUUCCCUUUCCACCUUGAAUAACUGUUAUGUGAGUAGGGCAGGACUGGCAGGUGAACUAAGAAUGCCCCUUACAUUUUUAAAGGAUGGGGGAAAAACUCAAAGACAAAUAUAUGACAGAGACCAUAUAUGGCCAGCAAAGUCUAAAAUUCUGGGAAUGACCUUGGUGAGAGUCUCACUGCCUCUGGGCAUCUUUUUGGCCCAAAGGCUAGACCUACAGGAAAAGGGCCAGAUACUAAUAGAGUUCCAACUACUUGUAAUAUUAGACUAUCAGACAUAGAAACCUUCCAGAGGAAAAAUCCUGGUAAUAUAUCCCAAAGUCUUAUGUAGGUAUUGUUUUAUUUUAAUUAAAAAAAUUAUAAAUAAAUAGACCAGGCAUGGUGGCUCACACCUUUAAUCCCAGCACUUUGGGAGGCCGAGGCAGGCAGAUCACCUGAAGUCAGGAGUUCAAGACCAGCCUGGCCAACAUGGUGAAACCCCAUCUCUACUAAAAAUACCAAAAUUAGCUGGGCAUGGGGGCAUACCCCUGUAAUUCCAGCUACUUGGAAGGCUGAGGCAGAAUAAUGACUUGAGCCAGGGAGGCAGAGGUUGCAGUGAGCCGAGACUGCGCCAUUGCACUCCAGCCUGGGUGACAGAGUGAGACUCCAUCUC